GGGGAUUCUGAGCACCAUUGUCCAAUACUACGAGGGACAAGACCUCUCCAGGCUCAUCGGAGCUCACCCUCUGACUGGGACCCUCAUGAUGCCCUUCGCUCCUGGCCUCGGAUUGGUCCAGAUGGGGACCCCCCCAGAGUCUUCAUGGAUCCCCUCCAUGUCAGGAUGCUCAGGAGCUCCAACACCAAUGUUCCUCUUCUGAUUGUGGAUUAGUUAAUGACCAGGGUCGGCAAAAUCCUCCCUGCCCACUAUCGCUAAAGGAUCCCUGAAAAGGAGCCAAGGAGAAGGAAAGACGUUGGACGCCCAGCCUUUGCCCCCUUCCUUCCUUCUCUCCCCUCCCCUGUCCCAGAUCA